GCAGUUUGGCAAUUCAUUUUUUAAUAUAGUUAAGCAUGAAGCUGGAUUUAGUGUGAGGCCAAGUUUCAUAUACGUGCCUGCAUUGCUUCACACUAUAUUUGCCAUUUUGUGUGGAUAGUGUUAGAGUACUUAUUGGUCAUGUGCCUAAAGUGAAUUUCUUGAUUGCACAGGAGAUAUGACAAUAUUGGUGAACGUAAGGGUAUUUAAUUGUGUAUUAGGAAUAAAAUACUUAUUAUGUGGGUUUUCUGAGACCCUAGGUAACACUGUAGUCUUCAGGGUAAAUUAAGUAGAAAAAUUUAGGGUUGGUUUCCUGUUUGUUUUAGCUUCUAGUUUUCAUUUGUUUGCUGUUUACUCUUCAUUUAUCUUAAAUUCCUAGGCUACCUUUGGCCCACAAGAACUGAUAGAGCACAUCAGACUUUUAACCUUAAACUAACUUUGGAUUUUAGGCUUCCUGAUACUUUAAGUGUAUUGAGCAUACUUUCAUAAAUGGAAUUUGAAUCAUAUUUCUCUCUCUCUGCCUAAUUGGUCCAAAAUUUGUAAACUGUGAAUAUUCUUAACUCAUGGCAAUGUGUUUGUUUGCAUACAGUCAAGCAGGGUCACUAGGGCUGCUCAGGGAGAGAGAGCCCAGGAACCUGGCAUGCCAGCAAAAGGGUAAGAAUUUCUUACCAGCCAGUCUCUGGCCUCUUUCUCUCUAUGUAAACUGGUUAAAUAAAAGGUAUAAGUCACCUGUUUAUCUCCUCUGUAAAGUUUUACAUUAAUUUGUUUAAUAAUAAGAGCUUAAAUCAAAUACUUUGUCAGAAAAGUGAAAAACAUAAUGUCUUUUAUUUAGUUCAUGUGACUUGAGUAAUCUUUUGGGAAAUAAACAGUUUUAAAGAUUAUUGGUAAAAUACAAAUGUCUUCAAAAUGUAAACAUGUGGUCUAAAUUAUGUUCAAAUCUUAGGUUUUCUAAAUACUUUAAAGUCAUAAACUGUUUCUUUGGCUUUUGAAAAUUGUUUAACUUGCCUGCUUUCCAGCUAGGUAAGGCCUGGGGACAUGUGGAGUUGGCCACAUCUCUCUAGCUAUGCUGGAGAUAGUCAAACCUUUUCAGAACAUAACUUUCCAGGUUUUAUGUUAAAAUUGCUAAGAGUUGCCUUUGUAACAUGCAAUUAUGACUACUAGAAACAAUUUUACAUGCAAGGUAUGUAAGAACAGUAAAUUGUGUUUUUUUUCCCUGUAAAAGGUUACAAAAGGUUUUUGCUUCUUUAAAAUUUCUGAGUCAUCAUUUUGGCAAAAUAUAUAAUUUAUGGGAAUCUGGAAUUCCAAAGUCAAACUUCAGUUUCAAAAUUCUCUUUCUGAAUGCCUGGCUUUUUGGAUGGAUCAGAGAGCCCCUGAAAACAUCCAGAAAAGAGGUAAACAGAAUUAUUUGACAUUUUUAGGUACAUGGGAUUGCUAAAAUGAUGUUCAGUCUUCUUUAGGUUAUAUUUUUGUGAAUAAUGCUAAUAUAUGUUCCAAAAUUGCAUGGGAUUUCUAAAAUUCUAAUGUCUAAGUAUGGUUAUUAUGUUAUUGUAAUAACCAAAUUAAAUAAUUAAAUUAAAUAACCACAGGAAUAACUAAAUUUCCUUGUCAGUGCUAUGCACCUAAUUUGGAAAAACUGGUAUUCAAGAGCAUAGAAGUCUAAUGUUGAUUAAGUAUGGACUCAUGGAGAACCAGAUGGCCUUCUUGUCCUUCCUGAGUCCUUAAAGCUCUUAUUAUUAAAAGUUCUGCAUUCCAUGACUCAUCAUGGAAAAGAUAAAAUGAUCCAGAUUGAAUACAAUGGUGUAGUGACUUACAAAUUACUAAAAUAGUUUAUUAUCAGUGUUUGGUCCUAUAUGCCUGGGAAAACAAUUAAAGCUUCAGGUACAUUUGGUCACCUGGUGGGCCAUUUAAACCUUUUAUAAAGGGAUUUCAUUCAAUUGUUAUUUUCCAUGCAUGUUUUCUGGUUGUAUAAAGCUUUCCCAUGCGAGAGGGCUGAUGUUGUAACAGUAGAUUAUUAUGCAACAGUGUAUUUUCAGCAGGUGAAAAAGCUUUUUAUGUUUUGGAUCUUCCGAAAACAUCAGCGAAAGACUGUCCUUGCCAUCCAGACUACAACAAAAACUUUAGGACCUUGAAGUUUGGGUUCAUAAUCUCAUAAAUGAGAAGGGUCCCUCUACACUCUCAGAACUGUACACCCGUUGGAACCCUUAAGAGACCAUCAAGCUUCACAUCAUCAUGCAACAAAGGUUCCAGCCAGUUCCAGGUGAAGACACCACCCCUGGCCAUCAAGAAGCUACCUUGCCUUCACCAGACAGAGCAGGGUGAGAGUUCCAUGAUCCUCAGUAGAAUUUUUGAGUUGGGUGGAAGUAGUGACUAUAUGAAGCAACUACCACUGAAGGACCAGAAAAGAAUAACGACAAUAUUAAAGAAAACAGCCAUCUUGGAGUCCAGUUAUAUUUUAAUAAAAGAUUUGUUCUCUACCAAUGCCCUACACUGCUAACAGGAAACUGCCUUCUGGAUUUGUGGGAAGUUCACCAGCAGGAAGCGCCAGUGGAAAUUGGGAGGGUGGCUAUAGCUGAUUUCCACUGUUCUUCAGUUAGUUUCCUGGCUGCUCACAAAGAUUUUCCUGCAUGCCACUGCUCUCCAGGAAUCUACCAACAUUCACGUAGACUUCUCAAUGAAUGGCACGGAAAGUUUCUUCUUAAGUUACUUCAGGCCAUCUGGAUGUAUACGUGCAAGUCACAGGGGAUGUGAUGGCUUGGCUUGGGAUCAGAGACCUGACAGUUAUCAUCCUUGUGGCAUCUUCAAAUUCAGAGAAUCCUUCUGGAUUUUUGGACUUUUUUCUCCCUCAACGUGGAUUAAAUGUUGGACUUUUCUCACUCAACUUGGAUUGAAUGUUGUCAUAGAGAUCUAACAGCAAGUGAACUAAUGCUGAUUCAAAGACACCAAGAGAGGGGGCGAAAUGGAAGGUGUGAAAUCACAGAAACCAAGGGAAUGAAAAACUGCAAAUAAAUAAGCCAUCACUUGAUAUCCUGCUACAUCUCCAGGAAUAAAAAGCUGGAAAUAAAUAAGCCAGCCAAGAAGAUUGAUACAUGACUGGAGCCUGAAUGGUAGAACUUUUUCAGAAGUGAGGAGUCUGUUGGCCCAGAAGAUCUGCGGUAAGAUCUGCCUCAACAUACCUUACUCAUUUUUUUCAAAGAGACUCUAGAGUCUAAAAUGAACAACCAAUCAAUUCUACAAACAUUGCAUCAUGAGGAGUUGCUGCACCUCUUCUCCAGGAUUUGCAAAACGUGUAGUCCAAAUCGAGUUCGGCUAGAACUGGUCUGUCAUCAAGAUAUGGCUCAUGAAAGAGAUUGGUGUUUAGGAGGCUGGGAAAAGGAAAUAUUUUGAGAGACUUCAUGUGCUCCGCACAUGGAGGUGGCUUCCUUUUGCCUCAGGUGAAGGGAGCUUCAACAAGAUCACUCAGAGUUUGAUCAAUGAUCUUAGAAUUUGCAGAACAUAGGGACUGCCAUUUGACUCACCCUUUAGAAGUCAGGAGGAAAGGUUACGUGGCUGGCACUUCUCAUGUCUGGGAAGGAACAACUGUGAAGUGCUGACCUAGACGAAUGUUGCACUUCCGCUGAUGAGUAGGCAAUGGCGAAUGUUUUCCAGGGUCCAAAUGUGGACCCGGCAACAGAGAGGCUGUCUGUAAUCACUUUAUAAGAGACACUAACAACAAUGACCACUGGGACUAAAGAGAGCACAACGGAAGUAGUUCUGCCAGAAGGGCUGAGGAGAGGGCUGAGCAACCACCCUCAGGGGAGGCAGACCCACAUCAAAGACAUCUCAGCAGUCCCUUUCCCAUGAAAGAAAGAGCUAGAAAUUGUCCAUUUGACACACACACAAACCAGAUCCCAGAUUGCAAUUGAUUCAGAUAAUGAAAAGCUUGUUCUUUUCACUUGCUGUUCUAGCCUAACCAUGUAGGUGUCAGAAGCAGUUGUAGGCUAGGAGAGAAGUCGGAGCAAUACAGAAGCCAGUUCUGCCUUUGCCUCAAGAUCCACUGUCCACUCAGAGGCAGGCUGGCACAUGGGGGAUGAGAACAUUCCAAGAAAGAUGUGAAUCUGGAAUUUUCAUUUAUGCAGUAGAUGGGGAUUUACUACUGAAAGGAACAUGUUUUGGCAACUAAUAGUGACCAAAAGAAUUUGUACUUACUAAAAAUUAUCUUAAAAGCAUGGGAUUACCCUAGCAUUUUGUUUCAGAAACUGAAAUUAACAGAAAACUAUAAAAUUACUUUCUGCCUGAAACCUAAGAAGGUGAACUCAUGCCAGAAACCAGUUACAUUCACAAUUACCUGGAUUUUGUUAUUUCCUACAAUGAAUAAAACUUAUUAUAAAGCAGAAAA